rnacentral:rRNA from 1 species
CCUACGGGAGGCAGCAGUGAGGAAUAUUGGACAAUGGGCGCUAGCCUGAACCAGCCAAGUAGCGUGAAGGAUGACUGCCCUAUGGGUUGUAAACUUCUUUUAUAUGGGAAUAAAGUGCAGUAUGUAUACUGCUUUGCAUGUACCUUAUGAAUAAGGAUCGGCUAACUCCGUGCCAGCCGCCGCGGUACGACGGAGGAUCCGAGCGUUAUCCGGAUGUAUUGGGUGUAAAGGGAGCGUAGGCGGGUUGUUAAGACAGUUGUGAAAGUUUGCGGCUCAACCGUAGAAUUGCAGUUGAUACUGGCAGCCUUGAGUACAGUAGAGGUAGGUGGAAUUCGUGGUGUAGCGGUGAAAUGCUUAGAUAUCACGAAGAACUCCGAUUGCGAAGGCAGCCUGCUGGACUGUAACUGACGCUGAUGCUCGAAAGUGUGGGUAGCAAACAGGAUUAGAUACCCUUGUAGUC